GCCGGGCGUGUUGAGGGUUGGGUGUGGGCGGGUACGGUGCGCCAGCCACGAGGGAUGCAGGCAGAUUUAUCUACCAGUGGUGCUCCUCAGUUGACCCGGCGAGAUGUAAGCGCUCCUCUGCACCACCUUAUGAUGCCUCCGCGACUUACGAAAAACCGUGGUCGUGCUAAAGGCGGCGUCAGCACAUUCGUGGGAUCAGGAAAGAAAUAAGAGUACUGAACAGCAGCGGUGGAUGGAAUCGCUGGAUUACACCAUCCACGUACUCGGCAUUAAACCCGUUAUCAUGCACCGCGUGAUCACGGCGUUCCAUGAAUUGGACAUAACUUCGGUCAUCGGAAAUGCCUUGACUUUUCCCGGAUACCUGGAGAGCUCUUAGGCUUGUUCUACUCUAUAGAACAUGCUCGAUAUCUAUAUUCGUUUGCAUGUCAUGAUGUGAGUAUCUAGUUUGCCAAGACACACCACGUACAUAUAUGAGUAUUGCAAGCCUAGCCAGAGACUCUGAAAGACUGAAAGCGUUUCCGACUGACGGUGUUGGUUGGUUCCAAACUGGUUAAGCGCUGUAAAAUAGCACCGCUCACCAAGCAAUGGUUGCUUACGUCCAACCUGUUGCGUCCCUGGAUGUGCUUGCAUUAUCUCCUCACUGAUUGAGAAGAACGUUGAGCGGGCUUAGAUCUGUCGUCUACCUGAACUAAGUAGCUGACGUGAACUAAGAAGCCUCGUCAAAUGUCUUUGAUGCGUUCAUAGACGACAGUUCCACACAUGCGAGAACUGACUGGGUAAUUAUAUAUUUGCCCCAUGUGAAGAAGGUGCAAUGUAUGUACAAAUGUAUGUACAAUUUUGUUUUGUGCUAGUUUAACCAGUGACCCCUAAGGCGAAUGUGUUUUUAAAAAAUACCAACUUGAGAACAUUGCUUUGGCUACUUGUUCAAUAUGUCGUGCCACUGCCACUAAUGCCACUAAUUGCUUAGCCACUAAUUGCCACUAAUUGCUUAGCGCGUUCAACACUUCAGCAAUGGCUGUUAUUGAUGAUGUUUUUUGACACUGGUUGUGCUCGCACGCUUUCGAUCUUGUCAAGAACGUUGAUGAUUGUGCCUAGUGGUAGAUUUCCAUGCAUCUCAGCACCCAUGGUGUGCCUUUGUUAGUGUACGGGAUUUAUAGGCGUGUGAGAAAGUCUUCCUGGCAUAGCGAGACUUCCUGGCCGCUCCAAUGCGGCAAUAGACCUGCGCUGUUGACAUGGUCGCUACUGUUCGUGGCAUGCAUCUGUGGUAAACUCGUAUGGCUGCCUGCCCAGAACUGUAUGUCGUGUACCUUCCAAGGCUGUGGUUAUCCCGGAGAGG